rnacentral:SRP_RNA from 1 species
GCCAGGUGUGGUGGUGCGUGCCUGUAGUCCCAGCUACUUGGGAGGCUGAGGUGGGAGGAUUGAUUGAAUCCAGGAGUUCUGAGCUGCAGCGCGCUAUGCUGAUCAGGUGUCCGCACUAAGUUCAGCAUCAAUAUGGUGACCUCCCAGGAGCGGGGGACCACCAGGUUGCCUGAGGAGGGGUGGACUGGCCCAGGUAGGAAACAGACCAGGUCAAAACUCCUGUGCUGAUCAGUAGUGGGAUCGCUCCUGUGAAUAGCCACUGCACUCCAGCCUGGGCAACAUAGUGAAACCCCGUCUCU